UUAUACUGUAGUUUUACAACAUUGAUGCUCAAGCAAAUAAAACAACAGAUCAUCCAUGAUGUUUAACAUAUAGACUCUUGUUUACUUUGGCUUUUCUCAUUUCUCAAGUAAUCAUUGACCAUAUUUACUGGAGCAAUUAUGGUGAAAGUGUGCUGGCAUAAUAACAAAAGUUACCCAUAAAAUGUAAGUCUCUAAGAGACGGAUAAUUCUCUUGAACUGGUACAAUGGAAACAAAAUGAUGAGGCUUUAUGGGGAAAUGUGUGCCACACUGAACUUCCUGGUUAAGAAGCUUGCCUUUAAGCACAGAUUCUCUGAGUCAAAAGACCCAGCUUUUGAAAAUUCAGACCUUUUUCUCUUGUCUCCUGCAACAAACAUUCUUGAAUCUGAAAAGAGCCUGCAGGGAGAGUCAUCUUACCACAAAAGAAGUUCUUAGGCAUCCACAAAUGCCUUUACUUUUGGAAGAUAUUUUCACAGAAAUCCUGAAAGAGAUUGUUUACCCUGCUUAUAUAUGUAUGAGAGCCUUGAGAAAUCAUCUUUAAAAUGUCUGGUUAAUCCAGUUUAAUCACUAUUGUUUUGAUUCUUAUUACUGCAAAAAUGAUUGCCCCUGCACGAUGUCAUUGCUCCAGUAGAUGGCAGAAGUAUACUAUGUACCAAAUUGUAGUAAGUUUGAAAACUUGUACACUGAAGGCAUGAACAAAUGGUCUCAACCUGUUUUAAAAAUCUGCCUUUGUUGUGUUUGGGACACCGUGGAUGUAAAGGGAAUUGUAGCAUUCCAUCACAGAUACCUCUGAUUCUGACAGGUUUUGCUGAUAUUCUGCAGAAUAAAAAAAUAAUUCAGAAGAGCCAGUGAUCUCAGGCAGAAUUGUCAUGCCUGUAUGCUAAUCUUGUAGUCAACUCAAUCAGACUCUUGCUUUGUUUUAUUUUAAUAAAGCAAACUGAAUACAAUAAAAAAAUCAUUUUAAUUAAA